GGGCCCGUAGUUAAGUGGUACAACGCGGCAUUCGCAUUGUCGAGACGCGAGUUCGAUUCUCGCCGGGUCCA
rnacentral:tRNA from 1 species